GACAGAGGUGCCAAGCGUUAGGCGGAAUCACUGGGCUUAAAGCGUGUGUAGGCGGGUCGUUAAGUACCUUGUGAAAUCCCACGGCUCAACCGUGGAACGGCUGGGUAUACUGGCGAUCUUGAGCCACCUAGGGGCAGUCGGAACAAGUGGUGGAGCGGUGAAAUGCGUAGAUAUCACUUGGAACGCCAAUGGUGAAAACAGACUGCUGGGGGUGUGCUGACGCUGAGACACGAAAGCCAGGGGAGCAAACGGG
rnacentral:rRNA from 1 species